rnacentral:rRNA from 1 species
UAGGGAAUAUUGGACAAUGGGGGCAACCCUGAUCCAGCCAUGCCGCGUGAGUGAAGAAGGCCCUCGGGUUGUAAAGCUCUUUUGUCCGGAAAGAAAAGCUUCGGGUUAAUACACCGGGGUUCUGACGGUACCGGAAGAAUAAGCACCGGCUAACUUCCUGCCAGCAGCCGCGGUAAUACGAAGGGUGCAAGCGUUACCCGGAAUUACUGGGCGUACAGCGUGCGUAGGUGGUUGUUUAAGUCUGAUGUGAAAGCCCUGGGCUCAACCUGGAAAUGGCAUUGGUAGCUGGGCAGCUAGAGAGCGUGAGAGGGUAGUGGAAUUCGCGGUGGAGCAGUGGAAUUCGUGUAGAGCGGGAGGAACAUCUGAGGCGAAGGCGACUGCCUGGACCAGCACUGACACUGGGGCACGAAAGCGUGGGGAGCAAACA